AACGUAGGUGACGAGCGUUAUCCGGAUUCAUUGGGCGUAAAGAGCGUGUAGGCGGCCAGGUAGGUCGGUUGUGAAAACUGGAGGCUCAACCUUCAGACGUCGACCGAAACCAUCUGGCUAGAGUCCGGGAGAGGAGAGUGGAAUUCCUGGUGUAGCGGUGAAAUGCGCAGAUAUCAGGAAGAACACCCGUGGCGAAAGCGGCUCUCUGGAACGAUACUGACGCUGAGACGCGAAAGCGUGGGGAGCGAACAGG
rnacentral:rRNA from 1 species